GACGAACGCUGGCGGCGUGCUUAACACAUGCAAGUCGAACGGAAAGGCCCUGCUUUUGUUGGGUACUCGAGGGGCGAACGGGUGAGUAACAGGAGGGUAACCUGAGCUUGACACUGGGAUAACAUCAGGAAACUGGUGCCAAUACCGGAUAGGAGCUCCUGCUGCAUGGGGGGGGUUGGAAAGAUUCGGCGGGUGGGGAUGGACUCGCGGCUUAUCAGCUUGUUGGUGGGGUAGUGGCUUAACAAGGCGUAGACGGGUAGCCGGGCUGAGAGGGUGGCCGGCCACAUAGGGACUGAGGACCGGCCCCGAACACUUAGGGGGGGCGGAGGGGGAGAUCUUGCACCAAGGGGGGAAGGCUGAUGCAGCAACCCCGGGUGCGGGAUAGCGGCUUUUGGGUUGUAAACCGGUUUCGACUGUGACGAAGCGUGAGUGACGGUAAUCGAUAAAGAAGCCCCGGCUAACUACGUG
rnacentral:rRNA from 1 species